rnacentral:lncRNA from 1 species
GGUCUUCCUCCAACCCUGCUUCAGUAAUAGACAGCUUUGUUUUCCACUGUAGGUCCACUCACCUGCACAUUCUACCCUGCCCUGGACCUCCCACGCCUAAAUUAAAUAGACUGCACUGUCAACCUCGAUAGAUGGCAUGUUGGAUGGCCAGUGGACUCAAUAGCCAAUGUGGGCAUGUUGUGUCCAGCUGAUGGAGUGCUUAUUGCAUAUUCUGCAUACAUCUACAUAAAUGAUCUUUUUAAAAACGAUAAAACGGCUCAUCCCACUUCUUCGAAAUGAGCUUCAUCUGAUCGCUUCUCCGCUCUCUCACGAGCACUGGACACCCAAAAGAUGGAUCUGAGCUUUCCCUAAUCCUAUUUCUCCUUCCAUAACGUCUUUUGCCUUCAGAAUAAAAACCUACCCUA